rnacentral:lncRNA from 1 species
CAUGAACUUUACAAAACCUCAAAAUGCAAUAUAAAUGUCAGCUGUUGUUUUUGUUGUCCUGAGUAUGAAAUGAGAUAAUGCAUGUCGAGCACAUUGGGAAGACUUAAUAAAACACUCUAUAAAUGUUAGCUGUUAUUAGUUACAUUGUUGUCCUUAUUUUAAGAUAAUAAAGGAACUAAUGCUUAAUUUUUAAAAAAUUUUUAUAAGCAUUUAUUAUUUCUCUCUCCCAUUGCCUUCCUCAUUGAACAAUUUUUUUUAAAGUCCUCGAGACAAAUAUGCCUAAUCUAGCAAAACACAUUCCCACAUUGGCUAAAUCCAAAACUGUAUGUCUUGUUUUCCAUUUUAUGCCUAUCACCUCGCGAAAUUGUAGAAAGUAAGUGGAGUGUUUUCACCUUUAUUCUUCUGGGUUAUCAUUGGUGUAUCCCCUGGUUUAUCGUUGCAUUGGUCAGAGUUCUAAAGUCUUUCAGAGCUGAGACUCACAUUUUUAAAGAGGCUUUCCUUUCCUGGGCAAAGCCUGGGCUUCCUCUCCCCGCAUUCCCCACCCCACCCCCUUCCCGGGUCGGACACAGUCCUGGGAUGAGCUGAAGCCGUAGCUCGGCUUGCUGACUUCCUUGGUGGCCUUUUCCUCCCAAUGUCAGGGAAUCAUGAGAAAGGAGGUGACCCCAUGAGUCCGCCUCUCCCUGCCCACGCACACAUGUCUGACUUAGACUGGAAAAUACCCAGAGGGAAAGAUUCCACAACCUCCCUGGGCAACUCGGUCCAUUAUCUCACAGGAAGUUUUCCUGAAUAUCUACCCUAAAUCCCUCUCCUUACAUUCCCUAGUCACCUGACCUCAGUGGGAAUGGAGACCAUCUGCUUUCUGCCAUCAGUACAACACUGGUCAAAGGCCUUUUGUUUCUGCGCGCUGCUGAAAGUGCUGGGGACAUGGUCCCAGAGGACUUCUGCAAUAAAGAAAGAUUUUAAAGACAAAAUGGAAAUCACUGAGACUAAAUGAAACGGUAUUUAAUGGGAUACACCAGGGACCAGACUAAACCAGAGAAAAGAGCUCAGGAAGCUUACUGCUACCCCCAUUGCCCAGAAGCACAGAAUCUCAGAGCUGGAAGAGACCUCCAAGGCCUUUGCCUGAACAGGCAUCCCUUCCACAAAAUUCCUGACCAGUAGUCCUCCUUUCUGCCGCAUCUUGGAGAGUUCUUUUAUCCCUGCCCAUACGCCUCACACAGAAAGGACCGUCGUUAUCUGUGCUCCCUCCCUUCUACCGCUGACCUGGUGAUCCAGCUUCUCCCUUCUGUCCUGGGCCUCCAUUCUUCCCGUAUGCUGUCUUCCCCUCGUAGAAUGGCAGUUCUUUGAGGCCAGGGAUCAUCUUGCUCUUUUGGUGUUCAGUCAUUUUUUCAGUUGUGUCCAACUCUUCAUGACCCCAUUUUGGGUUUUCUUGGCAGAGAUGCUGAAGUGGUUUGCCAUUUCCUUUUAGCACUUAGCAAAAGUGCCUGGCAUAUGUUAAGUGUGUAAUAAAUGUUUUCAUUUUUCACUCA